AUGAUGACUCUCGGCAACGGAUAUCUCGGCUCUUGCAUCGAUGAAGAACGUAGUGAAAUGCGAUACCUGGUGUGAAUUGCAGAAUCCCGUGAACCAUCGAAUCUUUGAAUGCAAGUUGCGCCCGAGGCCACCCGGCCGAGGGCACGCCUGCCUGGGCGUCAUGC
rnacentral:rRNA from 1 species